rnacentral:rRNA from 1 species
UACGAAGGGGGCUAGCGUUGUUCGGAUUUACUGGGCGUAAAGCGCACGUAGGCGGAUCGUUAAGUCGGGGGUGAAAUCCUGGAGCUCAACUCCAGAACUGCCUUCGAUACUGGCGAUCUUGAGUCCGGAAGAGGUGAGUGGAAAUUCCGAGUGUAGAGGUGAAAUUCGUAGAUAUUCGGAGGAACACCAGUGGCGAAGGCGGCUCACUGGUCCGGUACUGACGCUGAGGUGCGAAAGCGUGGGGAGCAAACAGGG